UGCAGCAGUUGUGGCUGCUGUGUUAAUUUAUUCAGCCCUUAAUACCAAGCAGCUUCUCAACCAGCUCAUUCCCAGCUGUCUGGUUCCUGCAGGACAAUGUUCUGAACUCACUAACCUCACACCUCAGGCCUCUGAACCAGAGCCUCAUCACAUCACUGGCAUACAGAUCUCAUCACAAUCUGACAGAAGCUUCAUAGCACUAGACCUGACAGAGCAGUCAUAGCUGGAAGGGCCUUUACCAAGUCCACCAGUGCUAUUCAAUGAGAGCUCUACUGACAUUUUAAGUGGAACGCCAAGAUCCUUGCAUCUAUGUUAAUGAAGAAUAUUUCUUCUCCUGUAAUGUCUCUGUCAUGGUUUAAUAUCAAGGAUCAACUCAUAAAAUGCUGAGAAAUCAAAAUGUGGAGGCAUGAUUUGCCCAAGAUCACACAGCAGUCAUCGAUUAGACGUAAGUCCAGCCCUCAUCUCAUUUAAUUCUCUUGGGACAUGGAAAACAACUGCGUGCUUCAUCACCCCAUUGCACACCCUGACUAUCCAAGCGGAUAGCACAGUCAUGUGCUACAUUAGCCAAUCAACCUGUCAACAAUUAGAGCAUAUAUCCAUGUUUAAGGAGCUCUGGAAAUCUGAAUCGCAGUGCACCAGAACUGAUGUUUUCCAAUCAUCCAUUCAGUGUUGGAAUCUCCUCAAUGUUGCCCAUAACAAGCAGUCACUCAACCCCUGCUUGAAUUCUUCCUGGGACUGGAGGCUGCCUACUACCCAAAUAAAUUAUUUCACAUAGACCUUAGUGCUGAGUAUCAAGUACAGUGGAUUCUCAAUAGAUGUUGAAGAGAUGAAGGCUAUUAAUUGAUGGCUUUAAUUGUUUUUCAAUCAUUCAUCAAUCCAUUUGUUAGCACUCCUUCUCUUCUUCACUUCUGGUCUCAUGUGGCUUGGAGCUGCUCAAAUAUUUGCAAGUGUAACCAAGCUGAAAAUUUUUAAUUCCUCCAAAUAGUCCUCCUAUGGCUUUGUUCCUGGACCCUGUCCUAUCCUGUUUCCCUGUUCUGGAUAAUGUUUCUUGCAGGAUGUGGCACUUAAAAUUUAACAAGUUGAAAACACCGUAUUUCAGCUGUAACUUGACCAACACUCCUGUUAUUCAGGUAUCUAUGCUUUUACCCAUGUAGCACAAAUAGUAUAUAUAAUUACAUAAGUGAAAAUGUGUUCCAAACACAUAUAACAAUUUUGACAGCAGCUAAUGGGGAGGAGGCUCAUGGGAUUCACUCCUUACGGGUUUUGAAGCCCCAAACUAGAGAUAGACCCAGAGGAAGGCACGAAGAAAGGGAAAGUAUAUGUUACCAAACAUGAAACAGCAUGAGAUUAACACCCAAACUGCUUGGUGUAAGACAGUGUUGAGAGUAUAGACAACUCUUGACAAAGUCACAGAGAAAGCUGUUUGACCUGCAGUUACUGGGGCUCCCUUUCUUGAGCACCUUCUUCCUUCCUGAUUCAGCUGGCAAGGUGGACUGACCACGAUUAGAACUGCACUGACCUGGGUUUGAAUCCUUGUUUUAUGCCUUUCUCUCUCUAGGCCUCUUUUUAAAUUAUUUAAAUAAUGGGGACAAUGUGUCCCUCCUCAAGUGGCUAUUAAGGAUGGUAAUGGAUAGAACCUAUCACAGGGCUGGGAAUUCACUUAGUAUCAGUUGUCACUGUUUCCCACAUGA